GACGAACGCUGGCGGCGUGCCUAAUACAUGCAAGUCGAGCGCAGGAAGCCAUUCUGAACCCUUCGGGGGGACGACGGCGGAAUGAGCGGCGGACGGGUGAGUAACACGUAAAGAACCUGCCCAUAGGUCUGGGAUAACCACGAGAAAUCGGGGCUAAUACCGGAUGUGUCAUCGGACCGCAUGGUCCGCUGAUGAAAGGCGCUCCGGCGUCGCCCAUGGAUGGCUUUGCGGUGCAUUAGCUAGUUGGUGGGGUAACGGCCCACCAAGGCGACGAUGCAUAGCCGACCUGAGAGGGUGAUCGGCCACACUGGGACUGAGACACGGCCCAGACUCCUACGGGAGGCAGCAGUAGGGAAUCUUCCACAAUGGACGAAAGUCUGAUGGAGCAACGCCGCGUGAACGAUGAAGGCUUUCGGGUCGUAAAGUUCUGUUGUAAGGGAAGAACAGGUGCCGCAGGCAAUGGCGGCACCUUGACGGUACCUUGCGAGAAGGCCACGGCUAACUACGUGCCAGCCGCCGCGGUAA
rnacentral:rRNA from 1 species